rnacentral:rRNA from 1 species
GUGAGGAAUAUUGGGCAAUGGGCGAAAGCCUGACCCAGCCACGCCGCGUGAGUGAUGAAGGCCUUCGGGUUGUAAAGCUCUGUGGGGAGGGAAGAAAAAGCGGGAGAGUAACUGCUCUCGUGUUGACGGUACCUCCUUAGCAAGCACCGGCUAACUCUGUGCCAGCAGCCGCGGUAAUACAGAGGGUGCAAACGUUGCUCGGAAUUAAUGGGCGUCAAGCGCGUGGAGGCGGACAUGCAAGUCGGGUGUGAAAUCCCAGGGCUCAACCUUGGAACUGCACUCGAAACUGCACGGCUUGAGUACUGGAGAGUGAAGCGGAAUUCCGGGUGUAGAGGUGAAAUUCGUAGAUAUCCGGAGGAACACCAGUGGCGAAGGCGGCGUCCUGGACAGUAACUGACGCUGAGACGCGAAAGCGUGGGGAGCAAACAGGAUUAGAUACCCUGGUAGUCC